AUUCCAGCUCCAAUAGCGUAUAUUAAAGUUGUUGCAGUUAAAAAGCUCGUAGUUGGAUUUCUGGUCCUUCGUUUAUGUCCUCCGAAAGGAGUGUACGUACGCGGGGGGCCAUCCUCUCGAAGACUGCGUGUGCUCUUAACUGAGUGUGCGGAGGAUUCGGGACCUUUACUUUGAAAAAAUUAGAGUGUUCAAAGCAGGCCAUCGCUUGAAUACAUUAGCAUGGAAUAAUGGAAUAGGACUUUGGUUCUAUUUUGUUGGUUUCUAGGACUAAAGUAAUGAUUAAUAGGGACAGUUGGGGGCAUUAGUAUUUAAUUGUCAGAGGUGAAAUUCUUAGAUUUAUGAAAGACUAACUUCUGCGAGAGCAUUUGCCAAGGAUGUUUUCAUCA
rnacentral:rRNA from 1 species